UACGUAGGGUGCAAGCGUUAAUCGGAAUUACUGGGCGUAAAGCGUGCGCAGGCGGUUCUGUAAGUCUGUCGUGAAAUCCCCGGGCUUAACCUGGGAAUUGCGAUGGAGACUGCAAGGCUAGAAUCUGGCAGAGGGGGUAGAAUUCCACGUGUAGCAGUGAAAUGCGUAGAGAUGUGGAGGAACACCGAUGGCGAAGGCAGCCCCCUGGGUCAAGAUUGACGCUCAUGCACGAAAGGCGUGGGGAGCAAACGAG
rnacentral:rRNA from 1 species